rnacentral:lncRNA from 1 species
GUGUGAAGACUAUCCGCUGGAGAGGUCCAAUUGCAUGAGGAAUCCGACAGAGGGUCGACCGAUAGUAGAAUUCAAAAGGCAUUAUAAAAGGUUGACCGAUAGAAGAGUCCGGAAGGUGUUGUGGAAGUUCAUCCGCUGGAGGAGUCUGGAGGGAAUUUAUCCGUUGGAGGGGUCUGGUUGACACUGUUGAAGUCUGGUUGGCAUUGUUGAAGGUUGAUGGCUAGAGAGG